GGUGAAAAGCACCCCGGGAGGGGAGUGAAACAGUUCCUGAAACCAUGUGCCUACAAGCUGUCGGAGCACAUUUACGUGUGACGGCGUGCCUCUUGCAGAAUGAACCGGCGAGUCAUGAUUGCGUGCAAGGUUAAGGUGGAAAAACCGGAGCCGCAGCGAAAGCGAGUCUGAAAUGGGCGUACGAAGUACGCAGUUAUGUACCCGAAACCAGG
rnacentral:rRNA from 1 species